AACUACUCCCUCCGUCCCGAA
rnacentral:miRNA from 1 species